GGGGUCCCGGGCGGCCCCCCGGGCGUCUCGGCCCGGCGGCGGCAUCGGCAUUCCGGCGGCGCGGGCGGCCGCUGUCCUCGCACGACCCCGGCCCGUCCAGAGCGCGCCCCGCUACGACCCUCGGGAAGACACAGUAAAGGAAUUCAAAGCGAUGAUUACCCUUCCAGAAUGCCCCUGUUGACAUUUCCCAAAAUGAAGUCACGCCCGCAGCCGGAAAGAACCUGCAGAGGAAGAGCAGGUCCGGCUCUGACCUCAGAGAGCCGGCAACUCAUGGAAACAGCCAGAUGCCAUUCUGAGCCAAGCCCAGCGGGGCUGCUGCCGGGCCAACCCAGGUCAUCCAUCCGAGUGACCACAAAACAACGAAGCCCAUCUUCCCCUGCACCAUUACUGGCCUAGAGAAGGUUCCAGAAGAGAGGCUGCAAACCUGUUUCCAGUGAAAGUGGCACCGCCGGGCUCUGAAACCAUCCAUAGGGCAGUUGGACGCGCUGUCUACACAUGGCUCUCCCGAGCGGCGUCUUCCAAGAGCCCUUUGCCGCUCCGGGCCCCUCCCCCGCCGCCUCCCACCCCUGCGAACGGGCCUGUUUCUGCGAGCACUGAAGACGGGAAACACGCGAUCUUGAAUGUGUCUCUUUCACGGUCACACAUUUUUUUCGUUGUGCAUCUUGGCUGAUCCAUGAUUGAAGAUCCCCAGCAACUGUUUCCAGCACAAAUUUAUGACUAGACGGUGCUGGAAGUCAGGCGUCCAAAGUGGCCUCGCUGGGCUAGAACCAAGAUGUCGCGGAGCCAGCUCCUACUGGAGGCUCUGGCGGGAGCAUCCGUUUCCCGGCCACGGCCAGCUUCUGGAGGCGCCCGCAUCCCUCGCUCCCAGCGCCAUUCUCCGUCUUUGAGUCGCAGCAUUACGACCUCCGCUUCCCUCAUCAUCACAUCUCCUUUUCCCUGACUCUGAGCCCCUCCUCACCUACGUCCCUCCUUCCCUUAUGAGCACCCUUGAGGUCACGAUGGUCCACCCGGGGCAAUCCGUCCCCGUCUCAUCCGAGUCGCCCCAGGGCCUGUACUCAGCCGAGCACAGGACACGCACCUGCUCACAGCUCACAGGCCGUUGGCUCCCGGGUCCCGCCGGACUUCCCAAAGCGACGUAUGAAGUCGCAGGACAGAAGUAUCCGCCCCGGGUCACAGGUGGAAAGCUGAGGCGUGUGCAGCAGGGAAGGGGUGCACAGGGACCCUGCCGGGCCCGUGGCCGCUGGUGGUGAACCCGCGGCACACAGCGGGCAUCUGGGCCUCGAGGCAAACGGCCACAAGUACGCGAGGACGGGUCGAGAAUCCCUCCCGCGGUACGGGUCCACGGCGCAGGCACUUUGGGGUUUGGAACAGAGGGUUCCCCCAGACUCACCUCUUCCCCAUGGGGCUGCCCGAGGGAAGAGCACGGGACAAAGGGGCAGACAGACCCGGGCAAUGCACGCGUGCGCACACGCACGUGGGCGGCUGAACAUCCCGAGCCUCAGAUCCCACCUCACUAUGGACUAUGAGCGGGUUGCCGUGUGCACGUUCCAAGCCCUGGGCCUCGGAGAAAGGGGCAGAGCAUGACUUCUCUGCUUGGCCUUGGCUGGAAUGCAGACGGGAUGGAGGGAGCUGCCGCAGCCAUCUGAGACCGUGAGCUCAGAGUUUCUUGUGGAGGACAGAGCAGCGGGCUCCCCGGCGUCUAGGCUUCUGACGUCCCGGUGGCUCCACAUCCAGAACCGCCUGUGUUUGGACUGAAGCGGGAGAAAGAAAGAAACGUCCAUCAUGUUUAAGCCACUCUCUGGGGGCAUCUUUGUUCUAGCAGCAAGCAUGAACAGCAUCCCGACUGAUACAGAUUCGGGCACACAGAAGGGACGGGCGCUGCUCUUGUAGCUAAAUCCCCCUCGGUCUGGCCUCCGUGGUCCAGGACACAGGUGUUAUGAGCUGGAAAGCUGUCGCCAGCCCCCCACCCCCACCCCGCCGUGCUGUGAUCUUGCCCUAAAAGUGCUCCCUCAGAUGCAUAGAAGGCAGACCACAUCGCGAUGGCCCCUGGAAGUCUUGGGACUGGCUUGAAAGACUCAUAAUGUUGGGGUGGGGGGGGGAGGUGCUUCCUGACUUUGGGAACUGAUCUGGGAGAGUCACCAGGUGGCUUUGGAGACACAGUCUCGGUGGAAGAGAAGAGGUUGGUCCCAGGAGGCAUCCCCAGCAGGACAGGGGGACCGGCCCUGGGGCCGCGAUCUGAAUGGAGCGCUGUCCCUCUAGGCCAAGCCUGUUGAUUCCGGGGACAGCAAGGCAGUAGCUCUUGAAUGAGCAAGAUAAGUCAACAGCAAGAUGGGCCUGGAAAGAAGAGACCAACUUCGUGGGAAUAAAAAGCCAGGUCUGGACAAGAUCUCUAGGUGGGGUUACAUGCAACAUGGCAGUAACCGGUUGUAAAUAGACCAGCAGGUGACUAGUUUUAGAAGGAAUUGUAUUUCCAAAUAAACCCCAAGCCUGGCUUUC